GGCGAUGGAGAAGAAUCUUACCUCUGAUGUCGAGAUAGGUAGAUGUGAAGUCUUCUUAAGAGCCCAUACAAGAAAGGACAAAGUUGUCCAGUAUCCUAACCUUGCUGAAAAACUAGAUGAGCUCUAUAGUAGCAAUCCUGCUUCUAGGAUGACCGGCAUGGAUGAAGCCCUUACAGAGUUGGUUGGUUCUGACAAUAGAGGGUGAAUGCGGGGUCUAGGUUGCUCAAUAAGCAAGGUAGGACUGAAGAAGUCAGCCCCUGCUCGUUCAAAGGUAGAGAAUGUGACAAAAGAAAAAGAGAGUGUAACUCAAGAGUUAUCUCAGGUGAAGAAAAAAUUGGAUGGUAUGACUCAAGAUAUAUUUGAGAUGAAGAAAACAUUGGUGUAUAUGCAGAAAGAGAGACAGUAUACUCAAAAUCUCUCAUUACCAAUAGUCGCUAAAUCUACUCAGGCAUCGUCGGUAUGCAAGUAUAAAUUUUUUACUGUAUUGAGCUUACAAUUAUAUUAUAAACGUUAACAAUACCAAUGCCAUUUUAUGUGUAAAUGUAGCUGGAUAUUAUAUAUAUCAGUAAGAGAUGCGACUUGCUUGGUUUUGGAAAACGUGGUGUA